GACGUAGGGCGCGAGCGUUGUCCGGAUUUAUUGGGCGUAAAGAGCGUGUAGGCGGCCAGGUAGGUCCGUUGUGAAAACUGGAGGCUUAACCUCCAGCUGUCGAUGGAAACCAUCUGGCUAGAGUCCGGAAGAGGAGAGUGGAAUUCCUGGUGUAGCGGUGAAAUGCGCAGAUAUCAGGAAGAACACCCGUGGCGAAGGCGGCUCUCUGGGACGGUACUGACGCUGAGACGCGAAAGCGUGGGGAGCGAACAGG
rnacentral:rRNA from 1 species